GCACUCUGCAACUCGAGUGCAUGAAGGUGGAAUCGCUAGUAAUCGCGGAUCAGCAUGCCGCGGUGAAUACGUUCCCGGGCCUUGUACACACCGCCCGUCACACCAUGGGAUUUGGUUCGGCCUUAAGCAGGUGCGCGAACCCGCAAGGGACGCAGCCUACCACGGCCGGGUCAGAGACUGGGGUGAAGUCGUAACAAGGUAGCCGUAGGGGAACCUGCGGCUGGAUCACCUCCUUUCAAGG
rnacentral:rRNA from 1 species